UGGGGAAUAUUGCACAAUGGGCGCAAGCCUGAUGCAGCCAUACCGCGUGUGUGAAGAAGGCUCUAGGGUUGUAAAGCACUUUCAGCGAGGAGGAAAGGUUAGUAGUUAAUACCUGCUAGCUGUGACGUUACUCGCAGAAGAAGGACCGGCUAACUCCGUGCCAGCAGCCGCGGUAAUACGGAGGGUCCAAGCGUUAAUCGGAAUUACUGGGCGUAAAGCGUACGUAGGUUGUUUAUUAAGUUGGAUGUGAAAGCCCAGGGCUCAACCUUGGAACUGCAUUCAAAACUGAUGAACUAGAGUAUGGUAGAGGUAAGUGGAAUUUCCUGUGUAGCGGUGAAAUGCGUAGAGAUGGGAAGGAACAUCAGUGGCGAAGGCGACUUACUGGACCAAUACUGACACUGAGGUACGAAAGCGUGGGUAGCAAACAGG
rnacentral:rRNA from 1 species